UGCGCACUGUGCUGGUCUCCAUGGCGGGGCCUCGGAGCCAAGACGAGGAGGAUGGAUGGAGGUACUACUCUCCAGAUCCCAAAGUCACUUUGUAAGGCGUUCUCCCGAAAGAAAGCUCCAAGAGGGGGUCUUCAAGAGAGCAAUUUAGGAUCAGGCAGAACUGGAUUGCAGAAUGUAUGGGCGUAGCAGUAUGUGUGCAGAGAAAAUGCUACUGUGAAGACACAAUUGUAGCUUUCACAUAAAUGAAACUACCACUAUUAUGAUUUAGUACCACCAAAAGGAGUGAUUUCAAUGAACAAAAAAUGGCCAAUAGAAUGCUGACACCUGGAAUUUAAACUUGAGCCACUACCUGAAGGUAAUUUUUUUGUUUUAGAUGUUUUGAGAUGAUGUCGCUAUGUAACCGUAGGUGGCCUUGAAAACAGUCCUCCUGCCUCAGCCUCCCAAGUGCUGGAAUUACAGGUGUGUGACACCAUGCUGGACUUUGAAAAUAACAACUUUAUUAAAGUUAAAUAUUUUCUGUUAUAUGUUAAUGGAAAAGCAAAAUUAUACUUUCUAUAUAGGUACUUUGUUCUAUUUAUGGUCACCACUGGGGGGAAAACAUCUUAUACCUAGCUAAUAUUAGUAGUAUCUUUAUUCUUAACAACUUCGACAUAUUUAAUUGGGAGUUAGGGUUCAUAAUUUAUAGCAUGUACUGACAUUGAGGAUAGAUGGGGAAUUGGUAUUUUAAGUCAUUCUACAAUGUCAGGAUUGAAGAAAGUAAUGUAAAUUAUCUUUUUUCCAUUGGGCAAAUUCUGACAAAGGUGAUUUGUGCUCAGCAGUCUUUAUCAAUGUCGUUUCACACCUUUAUUAGAGUACUUGCCUGGGAUAUGUGUACUCCCCUCGGUCUUCACUAUAGCAGCUAGCUCACAACUGCUGGAUCGUUUUCCCAGUCUUUGGCUAAUCUUCUCAUUCCUUUGACAUUGUCUUUACAGAGAGCAGACGUUUUUAAUUUCAAUGAAGUCCAGCUUUCCAGUUACUUCUUUAAUGGUUUGUGUCUUUGGUGUUGUGUCUCAAAAGUCAUUACCGUAGCCAAGGUCUUCUAGCUUUUCUCCUAUGUUAAUCUCUAGGAAUUGCAUAGUUUAAUUUUUCGAAGGAUGUACUUGGUCUGUCUAAAUCCGUUUUUUUGCAUGUAAGUGUCUUUUUAUUCUAUCACUAUUUGUUGAAAAGACUAUCCUUUCUCCACUGAAUUACUUUUGCUCCUUUGUCAAAGAUCAGUUG